rnacentral:rRNA from 1 species
CAGAGGGGGCAAGCGUUAUUCGGAAUUAUUGGGCGUAAAGGGCGCGUAGGCGGCCUUGCAAGUGACGGGUGAAAUCCCUCGGCUUAACCGAGGAACUGCCUGUCAGACUGCAUGGCUUGAGACCGGGAGAGGUGAGUGGAAUUCCCAGUGUAGCGGUGAAAUGCGUAGAUAUUGGGAGGAACACCAGUGGCGAAGGCGGCUCACUGGACCGGUACUGACGCUGAGGCGCGAAAGCGUGGGGAGCAAACAGGAUUAGAUACCCUGGUAGUCCACGCCGUAAACGAUGAGUGCUUGGUGUAGCGGGUAUCGACCCCUGCUGUGCCGAAGUCAACACAUUAAGCACUCCGCCUGGGGAGUACGGUCGCAAGACUG